rnacentral:lncRNA from 1 species
AAUAAUAAAGGAAAAACUAUUUGAAAUUCACUAAUUCCCUGGAUAACCCAUAUGUGGGUCUUAAAAUGUCUUACAUACAGAAAGAAGUCAAAAUUUUGAAUUUAAGAGGGAGAGAGGGAGAGGUAAGUAAAAGAUGAUCAAGAAACUGCUACCCCAUUCGCAGAGCUGUUGAGUGGACAAAACCUGGUUGGUUUUCGCUGGAAGUUCCUCCUCCUCUGAAGAUCGUGGCUUGAAGGUUUGAUGAUCUGCAUCAGAAAGGCCUUGAUCAGGCACGCUUUUGAUGCUGUUGUCAUCAUCAUCAUUGUAGCCGCCUUUGACUCCACUCUGUUAGCGUGGGGCGCUGCCGCCGAUUUGGUUGAAGCUUUGCCAAAACUCCUAUGGAAGCUGCACCUGAAAGAGCCAGGGUGAGUAGUGGGAGAGCAAAGGCACGUUCGUGCUGAAGAAGGUGAUGCUGAUCUCUUGGUUGCCAUGCGACGAGUCCGUUUCGGUGGUUUUUCCCUUUUGUCUUUUACAAAUUUCCUUCGUGGUUGCUUGAGAAUUAAGCUUAGAUUAGAUUUAGGACGUGGGGGUUUUCGUCUCUUUAUAUUUGGGUGGUUUAUCAAAAAGGCCGUUCUCACUGUCAACCUCUAUGACAAGAUAGGUU